UUAAAUUGUAAGAGUUUGAUCAUGGCUCAGAUUGAACGCUGGCGGCAGGCCUAACACAUGCAAGUCGAACGGUAACAGGAAGCAGCUUGCUGCUUCGCUGACGAGUGGCGGACGGGUGAGUAAUGUCUGGGAAACUGCCUGAUGGAGGGGGAUAACUACUGGAAACGGUGGCUAAUACCGCAUAACGUCGCAAGACCAAAGAGGGGGACCUUCGGGCCUCUUGCCAUCAGAUGUGCCCAGAUGGGAUUAGCUAGUUGGUGAGGUAACGGCUCACCAAGGCGACGAUCCCUAGCUGGUCUGAGAGGAUGACCAGCCACACUGGAACUGAGACACGGUCCAGACUCCUACGGGAGGCAGCAGUGGGGAAUAUUGCACAAUGGGCGCAAGCCUGAUGCAGCCAUGCCGCGUGUAUGAAGAAGGCCUUCGGGUUGUAAAGUACUUUCAGCGGGGAGGAAGGUGUUGUGGUUAAUAACCGCAGCAAUUGACGUUACCCGCAGAAGAAGCACCGGCUAACUCCGUGCCAGCAGCCGCGGUAAUACGGAGGGUGCAAGCGUUAAUCGGAAUUACUGGGCGUAAAGCGCACGCAGGCGGUCUGUCAAGUCGGAUGUGAAAUCCCCGGGCUCAACCUGGGAACUGCAUUCGAAACUGGCAGGCUUGAGUCUUGUAGAGGGGGGUAGAAUUCCAGGUGUAGCGGUGAAAUGCGUAGAGAUCUGGAGGAAUACCGGUGGCGAAGGCGGCCCCCUGGACAAAGACUGACGCUCAGGUGCGAAAGCGUGGGGAGCAAACAGGAUUAGAUACCCUGGUAGUCCACGCCGUAAACGAUGUCUACUUGGAGGUUGUGCCCUUGAGGCGUGGCUUCCGGAGCUAACGCGUUAAGUAGACCGCCUGGGGAGUACGGCCGCAAGGUUAAAACUCAAAUGAAUUGACGGGGGCCCGCACAAGCGGUGGAGCAUGUGGUUUAAUUCGAUGCAACGCGAAGAACCUUACCUGGUCUUGACAUCCACAGAACUUUCCAGAGAUGGAUUGGUGCCUUCGGGAACUGUGAGACAGGUGCUGCAUGGCUGUCGUCAGCUCGUGUUGUGAAAUGUUGGGUUAAGUCCCGCAACGAGCGCAACCCUUAUCCUUUGUUGCCAGCGGUUAGGCCGGGAACUCAAAGGAGACUGCCAGUGAUAAACUGGAGGAAGGUGGGGAUGACGUCAAGUCAUCAUGGCCCUUACGACCAGGGCUACACACGUGCUACAAUGGCGCAUACAAAGAGAAGCGACCUCGCGAGAGCAAGCGGACCUCAUAAAGUGCGUCGUAGUCCGGAUUGGAGUCUGCAACUCGACUCCAUGAAGUCGGAAUCGCUAGUAAUCGUGGAUCAGAAUGCCACGGUGAAUACGUUCCCGGGCCUUGUACACACCGCCCGUCACACCAUGGGAGUGGGUUGCAAAAGAAGUAGGUAGCUUAACCUUCGGGAGGGCGCUUACCACUUUGUGAUUCAUGACUGGGGUGAAGUCGUAACAAGGUAACCGUAGGGGAACCUGCGGUUGGAUCACCUCCUUACCUUAAAGAAGC
rnacentral:rRNA from 1 species